UGUCUCUCCUAAUUUUAAUUAAUGAAUUCAUCUAUUCUUUCAUUUCGCAGUGACGGAUUAGAGGAUCCAUGUAUCAGAGAAUUUUCCAUCAUUUUGAGAAAUCGAAACACCCUUUCCCCUCGGAAAUUCAGUGCUUUGAGAGAGAGUACACGUGCCUGUUGGGGGACAGCACAGAGGAUGAAGGAGAGAGAGGAUCUUAAGCAGACUCCAUGCUCGGUGUGGAUGUGACGCAGGCACAAUCUCAUGACCCUGAGAUCAUGACCUGAGCUGAAAUCAAGAGUUGGAUGCUUAACUGACUGAGCCCCCAUGGUUCCCCUGGGACUUCUUGAUCACUUAAAAAUUAAAAAAAAAAUUAUUCUCUCUGUUCCUCUCUAUUGCCU
rnacentral:lncRNA from 1 species